rnacentral:rRNA from 1 species
AUGAACAUUUCCCUUCUAUCCUACUGGCUAUGGCGUAUAUCCCAGGGACACGGUGGUCUAUGGUUGGACAUCAUCCGACAUAAAUACUUGCGUGGCCAGCCUCUGGCCUUUUGCCAGUGUUCGGGUGGGUCCCAGUUCUGGCAGUCGGUCAUCCAACUACUCCCCGUCCUCCGCAUUGGGACUUCCAUCUCGGUCGGCUUGGGCUCGGCGACCCUGUUCUGGUUUGACCGAUGGGCGGGUGACGCUCCGUUUGCUGCCCGCUUCCCGGACCUCUUCUCCAUCGUCGUCGUUCCUACAAUCUCAGUUCAAUAGGCCCUUAUUGACUUAGGGCGCCUCGCGUUCCGGAGGCCAUUUGGGCCUCCGGAAGUGGCCGCUGGGCAUGAACUUCUUGAUUGUAUUGCUCUCCAUGAACCGUUGGUGGACACGGACCCGGAUGAGGUUCGUUGGCGCCUCGAGCCCUCGGGACAAUUCUCCACAAAGUCCCUCUAUGCGGCUAUCGCCCCUUCCUCCGCUCCGCCGCCCCUCCUGGCGGUCUGGUCCAUUCGCCUGCCCCUCAAAAUUCGCAUCUUCAUGUGGCAAUGGAUCCGUGGUCGGCUGCCGUCGGGAGUUGAGGUUCGCAAGCGCAAUGGUCUGGGCUCCGGCAUCUGCCCCCUCUGUGAUACCCCCAAAGACUCGAACCACAUCUUCUUCUCCUGCGUAUCUGCUCAAUUUGUUUGGAGCUGCUUUCGUGAGGCGGUUGGUGGGGAUUGGUGCCACUCCAACUUCCCCGACCUCUUCGCUGAGCUUCAGGCCUCGCCGGCGCCUUCUUGCCACAUUAGGUGGCUUGAGAUUGGGGCCCUCGCGUGGACGCUUUGGACUAUUCGCAAUAAGCUCGUGAUUCAGUGCUCCCCUCUUCGACGAUCUACUGACACUCUCUUCAAACUAUCUGGUUACUUGCAGCUCUGGCGGCCGCUUAGCCGCCCUCGGGACCGGGACGCCAUCUCCUCCUUCAUCGCCAAUCUCCGCUCGAUGGCCGUUCGCCUGUCGCCGCCACAACCGCUGCCCCCGCCGGAGCCUGAUUAG